rfam:Myotis lucifugus cont2.19442, whole genome shotgun sequence.
AGACACCCUUCUGGGGCAAGACUUGCUUCAGUGGGGCUUUGGUGCUCACUGAGUCUGCUCCCUGAGUGUGUCCCU